GAUGGAGCUCGGAUUGAAGUGCAAGAAAGGAAAGGGAGACAGCUUGUUAUAGCAAGUUGGCUGCUCCGGCAUGGUUCAUCGGAGAUUGAACUAAGAAGAAGGGUCAUAGAUGCUGCAAUCAGCAGAAGAAGUUGAUGAAGAUAUGAGGAGAAGGGUUGUUGGGAUUGGGUGGGGAAUUGAAACAUGAUGCUUCUGCCAUAAUUGUGUUGAAUUGAAA